CUCCAGACGAGGACGAAGAGAGGUGGUGCUGACCACUGAUUGGUCAACGAGCAACAGGUGUGCAGCCUCCCCCAGCCCCAGAGUCCAAUCAGACUCAGACCAGACGAGGACGAAGAGCGGUGUUGCUGACCACUGAUUGGUCAACGAGCAACAGGUGUGCAGCCUCCCCUAGCCCCAGUGUCCAAUCAAACUCAGACCAGAGCAAUGAAUGCAGAAUGCAGCAGUGAGCCACCCUCAUGCGGGGAGACGAGAGACGGAAGAACGGCGUUCCAAGGGAAGAUUCUAGAAGGGGCCCCGGGGCCACGAGUGUACAGAGAGGAGCCACGUCUCUGGAGCCCGGAGUGGGCCAAACUAGAAGCGGAGGCGUGGUCGCUGAAGCGUAAAGGAAGGAGGUCAAUCCGUACAGCGUAACCACGGCAGGCUAACGGAGGCUAUGAAACAUGGAGCGAUGUUAACGGCGCUGGUUCGCCUAACGGCGUCUGUGAAGCACGGAACCAGCACCAGGCUAACCAGCACCAGGCUAACCAGCUGCAGGCUAACCAGCACCAGGCUAACCAGCACCAGGCUAACCAGCUGCAGGCUAACCAGCACCAGGCUAACCAGCACCAGGCUAACCAGCACCAGGCUAACAAGCACCAGGCUAACCAGCGGCUAUGAAACACGGAACCACCGCUAUAUUUACA
ensembl:lncRNA